rnacentral:rRNA from 1 species
AUGGAGCUGGAGAUCAUAGUGGUGGUGACGUUCGGGGCGCUGUUGGUGAUGGAUCAACUUGACGAUGGUGCAGAUACGGGCUUCGCCUUCACACAGUUUCUCCUGUUCCUGAGCUCCAUUGUGGCGGCAUUGACGCGCAUGAUGAUGAAGCUGCCUCCUGGUCCUUUUCCGGGUAGUGCACCGGCAUCAGAGUUGCUCCGCAAGACCUUGCUUAUACUUCUACUAGUGACGGCACACACAUUGGCCGCGGAGUGGCUGGGCGAGGAUGUGGUUGUGUUCUGCAUGCCGGAGGUUAUCCCGGUGCUCCUCUGGUACAGCCUUCACCUCGUCCGCCCACACCAGAACCCAAUCAUCAGCGUUGACAAAAUGAAGCCACACAUGAAGGGGCUCAUUGCCCUAUCUACACUGGUCGUAUUUCCUCUUUUCGCAUACAUGGUGAACUCCAUGGAUGUUUCUGGGCUCUCCUGGUGCACGAGGAUCAUGGUGUCAUGUGGCGUCUCAGGGGUUCUGACCUACUACCUUGUGUUCAUGCUACGCUACUGGCAUUGGCCAUGGCAAAAAGAAGCCGCAGCUUCUGGCAGCAGCAAGGACGAUGUCCCGUCCUCGGGCAUGCUCAAGUUUUUGGCAGAUGCUUUACUGAUAACGACGACCUUGCUAUUGCUGCUAAGCUAUAUGGUUUCCGUCCGACUUGGUCUGCGGCCAUCAUUGGUUGGUACACUAUAUGUCGAGUGCAACGACUAA